GAUGAACGCUGGCGGCGUGCCUAAUACAUGCAAGUCGAGCGAACAGACGAGGAGCUUGCUCCUCUGACGUUAGCGGCGGACGGGUGAGUAACACGUGGAUAACCUACCUAUAAGACUGGGAUAACUUCGGGAAACCGGAGCUAAUACCGGAUAAUAUAUUGAACCGCAUGGUUCAAUAGUGAAAGACGGUUUUGCUGUCACUUAUAGAUGGAUCCGCGCCGCAUUAGCUAGUUGGUAAGGUAACGGCUUACCAAGGCAACGAUGCGUAGCCGACCUGAGAGAGUGAUCGGCCACACUGGAACUGAGACACGGUCCAGACUACUACGGGAGGCAGCAGUAGGGAAUCUUCCGCAAUGGGCGAAAGCCUGACGGAGCAACGCCGCGUGAGUGAUGAAGGUCUUCGGAUCGUAAAACUCUGUUAUUAGGGAAGAACAAAUGUGUAAGUAACUAUGCACGUCUUGACGGUACCUAAUCAGAAAGCCACGGCUAACUACGUG
rnacentral:rRNA from 1 species